CAACACAUGGCCAUGAUGUGAUGAUGUAGUAGCAGUCACAAAACACUUAAAUAUCCUUCAUCUAUAGCUUGCAUGAUAUAGGUUCUCUCCUUUAAAAUCAGAAUGAUGACAGGAAAUUCAAGUCCAGUGACUACUCUAGAAAUGGGCAAAUCUUGAAAAGUUUAGGUUUGGGUUUAAGUCUCUCUUUGGAGGGGUUAGGAUGAGGUGUCAUGGGAAAUAAAUUAUCAUGUCUACCUGCUGCAGGGACUUUUGUACUCAGAAGCAUCCAGUGCUGUCCGCUGUCAGAGCCGGGAUCCUAGACUAGAUGGACCACUAGUCUGAUCCAGUCUGACAGCUCCUCCAUUCCUAAUUUCUUCUUUUUUCUGCUGGUGUUCAAAAUAUUGCAAAAGGUUUAGGAGUGUGUAGACCUGUGAAUGAAAACCAUGACUCUAUAAAGAGCCUUUCAGGGAGCCUUUGCUUACCAAAUGGCUUUACCUGGUUGAUCCUGUGAUUCAGUAGACCCUUUUGUCCUGAUCAGCCCUUGACACUUCCAGCAUUCUUAAGCACAAUGCAAGUGCCAUGUGCCCUUGGCACCUAAAAAUAUCUCCAGCAUUUGUCAGGAUUCACUCAUAAAAGAUUAAGAAGCCAACAGUUACGUUGAUACAUUAGUGGAUGGAAACAAAAAACUUUCUUUAUAUGGCUAAUGCUACUGUUCUUCUUGAAGAGAAAGCAGGAUGUUAAACCCUUACAAGCAAAGCUGUCUUGGCUGCACUGCAGACCUGGCCUGAAAACAUCCCAUAAGCAGCUUCUCUCCUUGCAACCAGAAACGAACUUGCCUGGAGUAAUCAGAUACUUAUAGACAUCAUCAGGAAUGCAAGAAUAGUGACUAUCGUCACAUGCCCAUAUGGGAAUUAAACAAGCAAAGCC